UGGGCAAACGCCGGAAAAACAUCAAAGGCGCUCUUAGAGCUAUAUGUUUGAAGCUUGCCACAACAUCAACAAUACACAGAAAUAAGCUUAGCAUCAAAGAAUCUGUGCAUGCAGUUUUAAACAUCAUAUCAUCAUAAAGAAAUGACUGCAGUCAAAAUAUUCAUCAUGUAUGUACCACGUCUACAACAUCAUCAUUAUUAUCGAUACUGAGAAGUAGGCCUCCCUCUCAAGUACCGUGACCGGCCGACCCGAAGACGGCUCACAGUCACAUCUGUGCACAAAAUCCCGCUUGUGGUAGGACCGAAUUCGUCUCAUCAGUAGAGGGUAACAUACAAACUUAUCAUCAAAAUUUUGGCAAGUCAAACAGUUCAUACACAUCAUUUAUCUAAAAACAUCAAACAUCUUAUAAUCUCAUCAUCAUUUAAAACAGUUUAGAAAAGCUCUUAAACUGUAUACUCAAAAUAAUGCCCACCUGAAGUCCUUCGCUUAAGCUCGGAUAGGAACAAGGGACUUACUUCUUCGUCUUGCUCGGGUCUUCAUAAAUCAUCAACAUCAUCACGAAGGUUCAUG
rnacentral:lncRNA from 1 species